UUGGGGUCCGAUUUAGCCAUGCUAGUUGCACGAGUUCAUACUCGUGGCGAAAAGCUCAGUAACACGUGGCCAAACUACCCUACAGAGAACGAUAACCUCGGGAAACUGAGGCUAAUAGUUCAUACGGGAGUCAUGCUGGAAUGCCGACUCCCCGAAACGCUCAGGCGCUGUAGGAUGUGGCUGCGGCCGAUUAGGUAGACGGUGGGGUAACGGCCCACCGUGCCGAUAAUCGGUACGGGUUGUGAGAGCAAGAGCCCGGAGACGGAAUCUGAGACAAGAUUCCGGGCCCUACGGGGCGCAGCAGGCGCGAAACCUUUACACUGCACGCAAGUGCGAUAAGGGGACCCCAAGUGCGAGGGCAUAUAGUCCUCGCUUUUCACGACUGUAAGGCGGUCGUGGAAUAAGAGCUGGGCAAGACCGGUGCCAGCCGCCGCGGUAAUACCGGCAGCUCAAGUGAUGACCGAUAUUAUUGGGCCUAAAGCGUCCGUAGCCGGCCACGAAGGUUCAUCGGGAAAUCCGCCAGCUCAACUGGCGGGCGUCCGGUGAAAACCACGUGGCUUGGGACCGGAAGGCUCGAGGGGUACGUCUGGGGUAGGAGUGAAAUCCCGUAAUCCUGGACGGACCACCGAUGGCGAAAGCACCUCGAGAAGACGGAUCCGACGGUGAGGGACGAAAGCUAGGGUCUCGAACCGGAUUAGAUACCCGGGUAGUCCUAGCUGUAAACGAUGCUCGCUAGGUGUGACACAGGCUACGAGCCUGUGUUGUGCCGUAGGGAAGCCGAGAAGCGAGCCGCCUGGGAAGUACGUCCGCAAGGAUGAAACUUAAAGGAAUUGGCGGGGGAGCACUACA
rnacentral:rRNA from 1 species